CAUACAAGAGCGUUUGAUGGAUGCCUUGGCGUUAAGAGGCGAUGAAGGACGUGGUAGACUGCGAUAAGCUACGGGGAGCUGUCAGCAAGCUUUAAUCCGUAGAUUUCCGAAUGGGAAAACCUAAUUAGUUUUACUAAUUAUUAUAUGCUCAAUACAUAGGUAUAUAAAGCAAACUUGGUGAACUGAAAUAUCUAAGUAGCCAAAGGAAAAGAAAUCAAAAGAGAUUCCGUUAGUAGUGACGAGCGAAUGCGGACCAGGCCAGUAAUUUAUAGAUAAAAACUAGAAUAUUUUGGAAAGAAUAGCUAUAGUAGGUGAUAGCCCUGUAUAGGUAAAAAGUCUAUAAAUUCUUGAGUAGGGCGGAACACGUGAAAUUCCGUUUGAAGAUGGGGGGACCAUCCUCCAAGCCUAAAUACUCCUUAACGACCGAUAGUGAACUAGUACCGUGAGGGAAAGGUGAAAAGAACCCCUGUUAGGGGAGUGAAAUAGAUCCUGAAAUCAAAUGCUUACAAACAGCUGGAGCUUGAUUAUAUUAAUGAGAGUAAUCUUGUUGAUAUAAUGUGAGUGACAGUGUACCUUUUGCAUAAUGGGUCAGCGAGUUAAUCUGUUGAGUGAGCUUAAGCCGUUAGGUGUAGGCGUAGCGAAAGCGAGUCUUAAUAGGGCGUUUAAUUUAAUGGAUUAGACCCGAAACCAAGUGAUCUAGCCAUGACCAGAUUGAAGGUGUAGUAAGAUACACUGGAGGAUCGAACCAGUUACUGUUGCAAUAGUAUUGGAUGAGUUGUGGUUAGGGGUGAAAGGCCAAUCAAACUUGGAAAUAGCUGGUUCUCCGCGAAAUCUAUUUAGGUAGAGCGUUAUAUUGAAUAUUACUGGGGGUAGAGCACUGAAUAGACUAGGGGGACUCAUCAUCUUACCAAAUCUAAUCAAACUCCGAAUACCAGUUAAUAGUUUUAUAGCAGACACACUACGGGUGCUAAGUCCGUGGUGAAGAGGGAAACAGCCCAGACCGCCAUCUAAGGUCCCAAAAUUACAGCUAAGUGUGGAAGGAAGUGGGAAGGCCAUUACAGCUAGGAGGUUGGCUUAGAAGCAGCCAUCCUUUAAAGAAAGCGUAACAGCUCACUUGUCUAAAUAAUAAGCUUUCCUGCGCCGAAAAUGUAACGGGGCUAAAGUUGUAUACCGAAGAUGCGGGUAUUUAUAUAAUAUAAAUACGGUAGCGGAGUGUUCCGUAGGUCUGUGAAGGUGGUUCGAAAGGGCUGCUGGAGAUAUCGGAAGUAAGAAUACUGACAUAAGUAGCGUAUAAAGAGUGUGAAAAUCACUCUCGCCGAAAACCUAAGGUUUCCUACGUUAAGUUGAUCUGCGUAGGGUUAGUCGGUCCCUAAGGCAAGGCCGUAAAGGAGUAGUCGAUGGGAAUUAGGUUAAUAUUCCUAAACCUUGUAAAUGUGACGAAUUUUGUAGUUGGUGUAGAUCUUAAUGGAUUGAUUUAUGCUGGUGAAAAGUUCCAGGAAAUAGCAUUUACUUUAAAUAGACCGUACCGCAAACCGACACUGGUAGGUAGGUAGAGUAUACUAAGGCGAUGAGAGAACGAUGUUGAAGGAACUCGGCAAAUUGUAUCUGUAACUUCGGAAGAAAGAUAACCUAUUUUUGGGCAACCAGAGAUAGGUGGCACAGAAGAGGGGGUGGCAACUGUUUAUUAAAAACACAGGACUCUGCAAACACGUAAGUGGAAGUAUAGGGUCUGACGCCUGCCCGGUGCUGGAAGGUUAAGAGGAUGAGUGCAAGCUUUGAAUUGAAGCCCCAGUGAACGGCGGCCGUAACACUGACGGUCCUAAGGUAGCGAAAUUCCUUGUCGGGUAAGUUCCGACCCGCACGAAUGGCGUAAUGAUUGCCCUACUGUCUCCAACAUCGACUCAGCGAAAUUGAAUUCCCCGUGCAGAUGCGGGGUACCCGCGGUUAGACGAAGAGACCCCGUGCACCUUUACUAUAACUUUACAUUGAUGCUAAGAAUCUAAUGUGCAGGAUAGGUGGGAGACAAUGAAGUUGCGAUGCUAAUUGCAAUGGAGUCGUCCUUGAGAUACCACCCUUUACAUUUUUGGCAUCUAACUAUAUUUCAUUAAUCUGGAGUUAGGACAUUGUAUGGUGGGUAGUUUGACUGGGGCGGUCACCUCCUAAAAAGUAACGGAGGUGUGCGAAGGUAGGCUAAGGCUGGUCAGAAAUCAGCUGUAUAGUAUAAUGGCAUAAGCCUGCCUGACUGUGAGGCUGACAAGCCAAACAGAGACGAAAGUCGGUCAUAGUGAUCCGGUGAUUCUGUAUGGAAGGGUCAUCGCUCAACGGAUAAAAGGUACGCCGGGGAUAACAGGCUGAUGGUGUUCAAGAGUUCAUAUCGACGACACCGUUUGGCACCUCGAUGUCGACUCAUCACAUCCUGGAGCUGAAGAAGGUUCCAAGGGUUCGGCUGUUCGCCGAUUAAAGUGAUACGUGAGUUGGGUUUAGAACGUCGUGAGACAGUUCGGUUUCUAUCUGCCGUGGGUGUAGGAAAUUUGAGAAGGCCUGGCUCUAGUACGAGAGGACCGAGCUGGACAUACCUCUGGUGUACCAGUUGUUGUGCCAACAGCAUCGCUGGGUAGCCACGUAUGGAUAGGAUAAUUACUGAAAGCAUAUAAGUGAGAAACCUUCUUCAAAAAUAGAUUUCCCUAUUAGAGCCGUAAUAGACUAUUACGUUGAUAGGCUGGGUGUGGAAGUAUGGUAACAUAUGAAGCUAACCAGUACUAAUAGCUCAAUCGGUUUAU
rnacentral:rRNA from 1 species